GAAUAUGCCAGUUGUAGACUCGAACGACAAGACGAACAAUGAAAUUUCAUGCAAUACCAAUCAUGACGCUGUUGACUAUCUAGCAGUUGAGGAAAAACUUGAAGAACCAGCAGUUGAAGAAAAACAUGAAGAACCAACAGUUGAAGAGAAACCUAGAGAACCAGCAGUUACGGAGAAACAUGAAGAACCAGCGAUUGAGGAAAACCCAGCUGUGGAAGAAAAACUUGAAGAACCAGAGGUUGAGGAGAAACAUGAAAAACCAGCAGCUGAAGAGAAACCUAGAGAACUAGUAGUUGAAGAAAAAGCUGAAGAACCAACACCGGAAGAACUAGAAUUUGAAGAGAAACCUGAAGAACCAACUGCUGAAGAAAUACCUGAACAAUUAGUAGUUGAAGAGAAAUCUGAAAAACCAGAGGUUAAAGAGGAGAAGUCUGAAAAGGUAACUCUCUUGGAAAAAGUGAGGAUCAAGCACUAUCACAAAGUUUAUCCAUCCUAUUAGUUCUGUAUGUGCAAAGAUUCGUAUCUACUUAUCAAUUGAAAGAUUAAGUGAAACUUUAAAUUCUUCUUGCAGAAUAUGUCAGUUGUAGAUUUCAAUGAGAAGACUGACAGUGAAAUUCCAUGCAAUACCAACAAUGAUGUUGCCGACUAUGUAUCAGUUGAGGCAAACCUUGAAGAACCGGUAGUUGAAGAAAAACCUGAAGAAACAACGGUUGAGAAGAAACCUGAAGAACCAUCAAUUGAGGAGAAACGUGAAACACCAGCAUUUGAGAAGAAACCUGAAGAACCAAUAAUUGAGGAGAAACCUGAAGAACAAACAAUUGAAGAGGAGAAACAUGAAAGGAUAACUCUCCUGGAAAAGGUGAGGAUCAAGCAUUGUCACAAAGUUUAUCCAUCUUGUUAGUCGUGUAUACGAUACAAUUUACAUAUGCUUACCUACUGAAAGACUAAGUAAGACUUUAAAGUUCUUCUUGCAGAGUAUUCCAGUUGUAGUCCCGAACGACAAAACUGAAAGUAAAACUCCAAGCAUUACAAACAAUAAUGCUGCUCACUUUUCAGAAGUUGAGGAAAACCCUGAAGAACCUGCAGUAAAAGAAAAAACUGAAAAACCAGUUCUUGAAGAGAAACCUGAAGAACCAACAGUUGAAGAGAAAUCUGAAGAACCAGUUGAGGAGAAACCUGAAGAACCAACAGCUGAAGAGAAACCUGAAGAACCAGCAACUAAAGAAAAACAAGUGCUAGUAGGGGAGGAAACAGCUGAAGAACUAGCGCUUGAAGAGAAACCUGAAGAACUAACGAUUGAACAGACAGAUGAAGAACUAGUUGUUGAAGAUAAAACUGAAAAACCACCAAAUAAAGAGGAGAGACCUGAAACGGUAACUCUCCUUUAGCAGUGUCACAGAGUUUAUCCAUCCUAUUAGUUCUAUAUGUGCAACGAAUUCAUAUCUGUUUAUCUAUUGAAAUACUAAGUGAAAAUUCAAAUUUUCUUGCAGAAUUUGCCCAUUGCAGACUCAAAGGACCAGACUGACAAUGCAAUUCCAUGCGAUACCAACAAUGAUAUUGCUGACUAUGCAACAGUUGAGGAAAAACCUGAAGAAACAGUAGUUGAAGAAAAACAUGAAGAACCUGCAAUUGAAAAGAAAUUUGAAGAAUCAACAGUUAUGGAGAAACCUGAAGAACCAGCAGUGGAAGAAAAACCUGAAGAACCAACAGUUAAAGAGGAACCUGAAAAAUCAGUGAUGGAAGAGAAACCUGAAGAACCAAUUGUUGAGGAGAAACUUGAAGAACCAACUGUUGAAGAGAAACCUGAAAAAUCACUGAUUGAAGAAACACCUGAAGAACCAAUAUGGGAAGAAACACCUAAAGAACUAGCAUUUGAAGAGAAACCAGAAGAACCAGCAGUUGAAGAGGAGAAACCUGAAAAGGUAACUCUUUUGGAAGAGGUGAGUAUCAAGCAUUAGCACAUAGUUUAUCCAUCAUGUUAUUUCUGUAUGUGCAUCGAUUCACAUCUGCUUAUCUAUUGAAAGUCUAAAUGAGACUUUAAAUUCUUCUUGCAGAAUAUACCAGCUGUAGAUUUCAACGACAAGACUGACCGUGAAAUUCCAUGCGAUACCAACAAUGAUAUUGCUGACUAUGCAACAGUUGAGGAAAAACCUGAAGAACCGGUAGUUGAAGAAAAACAUGAAGAACCUGCAAUUGAAAAGAAAUUUGAAGAAUCAACGGUUAUGGAGAAACCUGAAAAACCAGUGGUUAAGGUACAACCUGAAGAACCAGCAGUGGAAGAAAAAGUUGAAGAACCAACAGUUAAUGAGGAACCUGAAAAAUCAGCGAUGGAAGAGAACCCUGAAGAAUCAAUUGUUGAGGAGAAACUUGAAGAACCAACUGUUGAAGAGAAACCUGAAAAAUCACUGAUUGAAGAAACACCUGAAGAACCAAUAUGGAAAGAAACACCUAAAGAACUAGCAUUUGAAGAGCAACCAGAAGAACCAGCAGUUGAAGAGGAGAAACCUGAAAAGGUAUCUCUUUUGGAAGAGGUGAGUAUCAAGCAUUAUCACAUAGUUUAUCCAUCCUGUUAUUUCUGUAUGUGCGACGAUUCACAUCUGCUUAUCUAUUGAAAGACUAAAUGAGACUUUAAAUUCUUCUUGCAGAAUAUGCCAGCUGUAGAUUUCAACGACAAGACUGACUGUGAAAUUCCAUGCAAUACCAACAAUGAUGUUGCUGAAUAUGUAGCAAUUGAGGAAAACCUUGAAGAACCAGCAGUUGAAGAAAAACAUGAAGAACCAACAGUUGAGGAGAAACCUGAAGAACUAGCAGUUGAAGAGAAACCCGAAAAACCAACAAUUGAGGAGAAACAUGAAGAACCAAUAGUUGAGAAGAAACCUGAAGAACCAGUAGUUGAGGAGAAACCAGAAGAACCACUAAUUGAAGAGGAGAAAUCUGAAAGGGUAACUUUCCUAGAAAAG
rnacentral:lncRNA from 1 species